AUGGGAGAACAGCUAAAAGAAUAUCAGCAGAGGAACAGCCCUGGUGUUCUGGCAGGAGCGAAGACAAAAAAGAAAAAAACUGGCAGUAGCCCUGAGACAACCACUUCUGGUGGUUGCCACUCACCUGGGGAUAUUCAGGACAUUCUGAAGGUGCUGGUGUCCAACCUUAACCAUUCCAGUGGGGUAGCGCUCCCCCAUUGCACAAGUGGAAGAAACAACAGAAGAAACAAGUGGAACAUCAGCUGGAAGAAGGUCCCUGAUAACCUGGUCCCAUGGGUGACAGAGUCACUUAAACAAGUCCAGCUAGAGAGAGAUGAAUAUGCUCAACAUAUAAAAGGAGAGAGGGCCCGGUGGCAGGAGAGGAUGCGGAAAAUGUCGAUGGAGGCUCACACAUUGAUGGAGGAGAAGAAGCGUGACAUACAUCGGAUACAGGAGCUGGAGAGGAGCUUGUCCGAAAUCAAACCCCAGAUGGCUGAGCCCCCAUCCCCAGCGCCCCCAGCAGGGCCCUCUGAGGUGGAGCAGCUACAAGAUGAGGCCAAACACCUGAGGAAGGAGGUGGAGAGUUUGGUGGGAAAACUCCAAUCCCAGGUGGAAAACAACCAGGCCUUGAAUCUCCUGAGCAAGGAGCAAAAGGAGAGGCUUCGGGAGCAGGAGGAGAGGCUGCAAAAGCAGGAGGAGAGACAGACACUCUCCCAGAACCACAAGCUCGACAAGCAGCUGGCCGAGCCACAGUGCGGCUUCAAAGAUCUGGUGGAACAUGAGAACAAAAGCGCACUGCAGUUGGAGUAGCAAGUAAAGGAGCUGCAGGAGAAGCUGAGCAAGGAGCACCUAGAAGCUGCCAGCCAGUGGAACCAACAGCUAGAGACCCAGUUGAGCCUCAUGGCUCUCCCUGGACAAGGAGAUGAAGGAGGACAUCUAGACAGUGAGGAGGAGGGGGUGCCUCAGUCUAUGCCGAGCAUCCCAGAGGACCUGGAGAGCAAGGCAGCCACGAGUGGCUUUAUGGACCUCCAAAAGGAGAAGGUGGACAGGAAGGAGCAGGUGGAGAACCUAGAGCUUGGAUUCAUCCAGCUCUCUGGAGCAACAGACGGCAUGAGAGAGCACAUCACCGUAUCUGGGAGCGAAGGGGCAGUGCCAAACACGCGGCACCAGGAGAUAGAGGAUAUCAUCAGACUGGACCAGAACGAGGAGGAGAUGAAGGUGAAUCUACUGGAGCUGCAGAAGCUGCUGUUGACACUUGUGGGUGACCAUGAGGGACAUGACAAAUUCCUCCCUGCUGCCCAGAACCCUGCUGAUAUCCCUAGCCCUUUUAAGGGGCACUGCCUGGACUGCCCACAUCAAAACUUCUCACUCUUCACCAUCCAGUCCUCGAGCCGCAGUGAAGCAGUCCUCCAGCGGCAGUUACAGCAGACCAGAAAGGAGCGGGCGCUGCUGAACGCACACGUGACACAAAUGACAGAGUCAUUGAAACAAGUCCAGCUGGAGAGAGAGGAAUAUGCUCAACAUAUAAAAGGAGAGAGGGCCCGGUGGCAGGAGAGGAUGCGGAAAAUGUCGGUGGAGGCUCACACAUUGAAGGAGGAGAAGAAGCGUGACAUACAUCGGAUACAGGAGCUGGAGAGGAGCUUGUCCGAAAUCAAACACCAGAUGGCUGAGCCCCCAUCUCCAGCACCCCCAGCAGGGCCGUCUGAGGUGGAGCAGCUACAAGAUGAGGCCAAACACUUGCGGAAGGAGGUGGAGAGUUUGGUGGGAAAACUCCAAUCCCAGGUGGAAAACAACCAGGCCUUGAGUCUCCUGAGCAAGGAGCAAAAGGAGAGGCUUCGGGAGCAGCAGGAGAGGCUGCAAAAGCAGGAGGAGAGACUGUGGGAGAAGGAGGAGAGGCUAUGAAAGCAGGAGGAGAGACGCACACUCUCCCAGAACCACAAGCUCGACAAGCAGCUGGCCAAGCCACAGUGUGGCUUCAAGGAGCUGGUAGAACAUGAGAACAAGAGCACACUGCAGUUGGAGUAGCAAGUAAACGAGCUGCAGGAGAAGCUGAGCAAGGUGAAGGAGAUGGUAACCUCUGCCUCAUCCAAGAAGGGCUGGGAGACAGGUACCAGCCUCUGGGGAGGGGAGGUGCCAGGCCAAGGAGAUGGAGGAGGACAUCUAGACAGUGAGGAGGAGGGGGUGCCUCAGCCUAUGCCGAGCAUCCCAGAGGACCUGGAGAGCCAGGAAGCCAUGAGUGGCUUUAUGGACCUCCGAAAGGAGAAGGUGGACAGGAAGGAGCAGGUGGAGAACCUAGAGCUUGGAUUCAUCCAGCUCUCUGGAGCAACAGACGGCAUGAGAGAGCACAUCACCGUAUCUGGGAGCGAAGGGGCAGUGCCAAACACGCGGCACCAGGAGAUAGAGGAUAUCAUCAGACUGGACCAGAACGAGGAGGAGAUGAAGGUGAAUCUACUGGAGCUGCAGAAGCUGCUGUUGACACUUGUGGGUGACCAUGAGGGACAUGACAAAUUCCUCCCUGCUGCCCAGAACCCUGCUGAUAUGCCCGCUCCAGGGGCCCCAGCCCCCCCGGAGCUUGGGGCUGCCGAGGAGCAGGGUGAUCUUUGUGAGGUGAGCCUGGCCGACAGCGUGGAGCCUGCACCGGGAGAGGCCAGGAAGGGUUCUCCCCAUGACAACCCCACUGUACAGAAGAUCGUGCAGCUGCUUCCUGUAAUGCAGGACACCCAGGAGCACCCAGGCUUGGCCAGCAAACCCUGCGUCCCAUUCUUUUACUGGGCAGCCGAGAACAGGGAGAUAAACAUCACCAUCAUCUAAGAGCUGGCCAAGAAAUUGAAAAAACAACAACCAAAUGUUAUGGGGUUAAUCUCCUACACAAUUCAUUUACUUCAUUUGAAUGUUAGAGCCACUCAUGUUUAUUUAUGUUCUAAUUUACAGUUUAAAUUUAUUUGUAAAAAGUUAAGGGAGAGUGGGUCUUUCCCUGAUGUUCACUCUGGC